rnacentral:rRNA from 1 species
CCUACGGGAGGCAGCAGUGGGGAAUAUUGCACAAUGGGGGAAACCCUGAUGCAGCGACGCCGCGUGGGCGACGAAGCGCUCCGGCGCGUAAAGCCCUGUCAGCAGGGAAGAAAAAAGACAGUACCUGACCAAGAAGCCCCGGCUAACUACGUGCCAGCAGCCGCGGUAAUACGUAGGGGGCAAGCGUUAUCCGGAUUCACUGGGCGUAAAGGGAGCGCAGGCGGCACGGCAAGUCUGGUGUGAAAGCCCGGGGCCCAACCCCGGGACUGCAUUGGAAACUGCCGGGCUGGAGUGCCGGAGGGGUA